rnacentral:ncRNA from 1 species
GGUAAAGAAGACCUUGUUGAGCUUGACUCUAGCACGACUUUGUGAAAUGACUUGAGAAGUGUAGAAUAAGUGGGAUUAUUUUUCGGCACAAAUGAGAUACAACUACUUUUAACAUCAUUUUACUUAUUAUGUGGGGAGGAGAGGGGAAUUUACCCUAUUUUUGGCCUUAAGACACAUUUCGAUGGGUCGAUAUGGGUGAAAGACAUUGUCAAGUGGGGAUUUUGGAUGGGGCGACACAUAUAUUAAAAGAUAACAUAAAAUAUAAUUGGUGUAGAUAGAACAUUUGUAUUUGGGAUAUCCUAGUGCAAAACCACCCUUAUUACAUUUCCCUCCUAAUUUUUAGUUACAUCCAAUCAUUUCUAAAUUGAAUCUAGUCUCCUCACUUGGAAAAUAUGUAUAUAUGUGUGAACCCUACCCCGUAUUUUCUAGUACCAUGAUAUGGGAUAUACCUAACCAUGAACGAAAUGUUCCUAUGGUUUCCAAGGUUAUCUCUUCUAACUUAGAUUUGUUAGUCCCUACUCGUGAUAUUAAACAUGUCAAAACCCAUUUCCAUAAGCCCAUGGUUACAUACAAAGGGAAAAAAAAAGGUGGACACAAAAAUGUCACCCAUUCCUCCUCAAGGUCCUCCCUAGGAUCUUGUUGUAUCUCAUAAUGUUUUACACU